AGAGACAGGGUCUCACUGCAUGCCUGUAGUGCCAGCUACUCAGGAGACUGAGGUGGGAGGAUCUCUUGAGCCCAGGAGGUCGAGGUGGCAGUGGCCCAUGAUUGCAUCACUGUACUCAGUCUGUCUGCACUACCAUUGUGAGCUGUUAACACUCACUGUGAAGGUCUGCAAAGGUCUGCGGCUUCACUCCUGAAGUCAGCAAGACCACAAACCCACCAGAAAGAAGAAAUUCCAGACACAUCUGAACAUCUGAAGGAACAAACUCCGGACACACCAUCUUUAAGAACUGUAACACUCACCACGAGGGUCUGUGGCUUCAUUCUUGAAGUCAGCGAGACCGAGAACCCAUGGGAAGGAACCAAUUCUGGACGCACUGGGUUCACGCCAUUCUCCUGCCUCAGCCUCCAAAGUAGCUGGGACUACAGGUGCCCGCCCACCAUGCCCGGGUAAUUUUUUGUAUUUUUAGUACAGACGGGGUUUCACCGUGUUAGCCAGGAUGGUCUCGAUCUCCUGACCUCGUGAUCCACCCGCCUUGGCUUCCCAAAGUGCUGGGAUUACAGGUGUGAGCCACCGCGCCUGGCCUUUUUUUAAGUCUUAAUAUGGGAUUUCCAUAAAACUUAAUCCGUACUCCACAAUGCAACUUUUUAUAAUCAAUAAAAUUGGCAGGUUUGUUUGCUUCCUAACAAUUUAGAAGGACUUUCAGAAAAUUUGGCUGGUCAAAACCUAUUUUUACAUCUAGCCAAAUGGUUAUCUCUAGAUGAAGGGAUUUGGGUUCAUUUAUAUUUUCUUUUUCUUUUUCUUUUUUUUUUUUGAGAUGGAGUCUUGCUCUGUCACCCAGUCUGGAGUGCAGUGGCGCGAUCUCGGCUCACUGCAGGCUCUGCCUCCUGGGUUCACGCCAUUCUCCUGUCUCAGCCUCCCCAGCAGCUGGGACAACAGGCGCACGCCGCCACGCCCGGCUAAUUUUGUUGUUGUUGUUGUUGUUGUAUUUUUAGUAGAGACGGGGUUUCACCGUGUUAGCCAGGAUGGUCUCAACCUCCUGACCUCGUGAUCUGCCCGCCUCCACCUCCCAAAGUGCUGGGAUUACAGGCGUGAGCCACCAUGCCUGGCCAUUUAUAUUUUCUUUUUUCUUUGCGUUUAAUUCAGCAAUGCACCAGAAGGACUGACGAGACUCACUGGUUGGCCAGGCGUGGUGACUCAUAUCUGAAAUCCCAGUACUUCAGGAAGCCAAGGAGGGUGGAUUCUUUGAGCCCAGAAAUUCGAGACCAGGCUGGGCAACAUGGCAAAACCCUGUCUCUACAAAAAAUUAGGUGUGGUGCCACACACCUGUGGUCCCAGCUACUCGGGAGGCUGAGGUAAUAGGCUCACUAGAACCUGGGAGGUUAAGGCUGCAGUGAGCCAAGAUCCUGCCACUGUACUCCAGCCUGAGUGGCAGAGCAAGACCCUAUCUCAAAAAUAAAUUUUAAAAAAGAACCAAUGGCAGGUUAUAUACUUACUACUAAGAUUUAUUAUAGCAAAGUAUACAUAGCAAAAGCAGCAGGAAAAAGACAUGCAUCAGCAGGGUCCAGAGAGGUUCAACACAGGUUUCCAAUGUCUUUCGUUGUCUGAGGCCACACAGGAGUACUCGCUGUCUCGAGCAGUUAACUACAGGGACAUGUGUGGAAUGUCUUUGCCCAUGAAAGCCUGUCUGAAUCUCAGAGUCCAAGGCUUUUAUGAGGAGCUGGUAAUGUAAGUAUAUCCUGCUAUGCAAUUAGCCAUGGCAAGCAAAACUCAGGACCCUAACAAUGAAACCUCAAUCUUGGUGUUUAUGGAAAGCAACCUGACAAACCAGUAUGGCAUGGUUCGUUGCUCCAGUUGUAUAUAACAAAAUCACCAAUCAAUAACACAAAGAACUCUCUAAGGACUAUAUUCCCAGUGAUUGGCCAAGGGCUAAUCAUGGUUCCCUUGGAGACCUGCAAGGUUAUGCAACCUGACCUACUGUGUUAACUCUUUCCUCAGUCUGUAUUUUCUAAAAUGUCUAUAAUUAACAUAUAUUACUUUUAUAAUCAGAAAAGUAACUAUUAACAUAAAGGCAUCCAAACAUAAUGAUUUUCUUUUUAGUUAUUUAAUGAUGCUGCUUUGUAAGCUCAGUACAUUUUCUUGUAGUCAGCAGAGCUGCUAAGAGUAUAGUCACCCUACUAGACAUUUCAUAGAUGCCCAUCAGAGCCUUUAUAUGCUUUGGGAAAAACCAUAAAAACAGGCAUGAAAGAGCAUAUGAAACCUAGGAGGAACCACAGCAACAUCUAGUUCCACUUCCCCAUCUUAGAGAUGAGGAAAUGGGAAUUCUGAACAGUGAAAGGACUCUCCCCAGGUUCUAAACCUUAGGGUUUUCAAUUAAAAACCUGUCUUGGAAUUGCUGAAAUGUUUGCUCAGUUGCUUCUGAAUGUCUUUACCAUGGAAAAAGCUGGAGCCCUGAAUGAUGAGCUCACCUGGACCAAGCACACAUAGUUUGUCCUCCUUCAGUCUGGAUAGUGACUUCCCUUCCUCCCACUGCCCCAGUGGCCUGACAGGAUCCCAUGUCAAGAGCAUUGCCAAUGCUAUUGGGUCAAUGUUCCAGCUUGGAACCUAACAAGAGGAUAGGUUCAUCUUCACUAAAUUUUCCUUUUCUUUCACCUUCAUUUACUCUCUUGUAAGUUGCAGGGAGGUGCAAAUUCCUUUUAGGUCUCCCAGAACCAGGUCUUAACAGUGGUUAUGACUUCAGGUAGUAAAGUCAAAUGGUCCAGGAUUUGAAUUCUGUUUUUGCAUCUACUUGUAUGAUUUGGCUUAUGUGAUUUGAGUGAGUUACUUGGGGAAGUUAAUAAAAAUAGUAGUACCUUCCUCCUAAGGUUACUGGGAAGAGAAAAGGAAUGUCUUUCAUGUAAUAACUCUCAACUAGCAUAGGGCUUGGCAUAUAGUAAAUGUUCAAAAAUAUUAGCUGUUAUUUUUUAAAUAGAUGCUCCGUUUAUUUUGGAAAAUUCUAUUCUCUGAUUUUUAAGACCAUUUUAUUGAAGUAAUUGACAUGCAGUAUAAACUGAACACGUUUAAAGUAUAGAAUAUCAUGUUUUGACAUGUAUACACCCAUGAAACUAUCACCAUAAUCAAGUUAAUGAACAUAUCCAUAACCCCUAAAAGCUUUCUUUUUUUUUUGAGAUGGGGUCUCGCUCUGUCACCCAGGUUGGAGUGCAGUGGUACGAUCUUGAUGCACUGCAACCUCCACCUGCUGGAUUCAAGUGAUUCUCCUGCCUCAGCCUCCC
rnacentral:lncRNA from 1 species